GACAGAGGGUGCAAACGUUGUUCGGAAUUACUGGGCGUAAAGCGCGUGUAGGCGGCUAUGCAAGUCGGAUGUGAAAGCCCUCGGCUCAACCGGGGAAGUGCACCCGAAACUGCAAAGCUAGAGUCUCGGAGAGGAUCGUGGAAUUCGUCGGUGUAGAGGUGAAAUUCGUAGAUAUCGAGAGGAACACCGGUGGCGAAGGCGGCGAUCUG
rnacentral:rRNA from 1 species